AUUGAACGCUGGCGGCAGGCUUAACACAUGCCAGUCGAGCGGGGAAAGGUAGCUUGCUCCCUGACCUAGCGGCGGACGGGUGAGUAAUGCUUAGGAAUCUGCCUAUUAGUGGGGGACAACAUCUCGAAAGGGAUGCUAAUACCGCAUACGUCCUACGGGAGAAAGCAGGGGACCUUCGGGCCUUGCGCUAAUAGAUGAGCCUAAGUCGGAUUAGCUAGUUGGUGGGGUAAAGGCCUACCAAGGCGACGAUCUGUAGCGGGUCUGAGAGGAUGAUCCGCCACACUGGGACUGAGACACGGCCCAGACUCCUACGGGAGGCAGCAGUGGGGAAUAUUGGACAAUGGGGGGAACCCUGAUCCAGCCAUGCCGCGUGUGUGAAGAAGGCCUUUUGGUUGUAAAGCACUUUAAGCGAGGAGGAGGCUACCGAGAUUAAUACUCUUGGAUAGUGGACGUUACUCGCAGAAUAAGCACCGGCUAACUCUGUG
rnacentral:rRNA from 1 species